rnacentral:sRNA from 1 species
ACUCCGGUUCUAAGCGCGACGCGCAGACCACCUGACGGCUGCUCGCUACCUUUUGUUAGCC